rnacentral:lncRNA from 10 species
GGGACAGAUGAUAACAUCCUGUUCUGAGUUAUGGGUACAUGUUGCUGAAUACAAGGUCGCAGUAUUCUAAUCUCUUCCUCUUUUUUUCUCCCAUAGUAAACAAGACUGAAGCCCAUUUGAAGCCAUGAAUAAAAAACAGAAUCAGUUGCUAAACCCUGCAGCCUUGAACCUGUACCCAUUAUGGGACCUGAAUUCCUAUAUGGACACAAAGAGUAUGAAAAUUCCAAGCCCAGAACUUGAGCAAACACUGAAAUGAGGCUCUUGCCUUUCCCAGGGCUCCACAGAGGUACUCAAGAUUUCUAUUUGGCCCUUUAAUAUCUGCUUAGCCUUUCUUUUUAACAUAAUUUAUUGUUUGUACAUUAUUUUCUAUUUUUUCUUAAUUUCCCUGAAUAUUUAAACACACUCAUUUUAAGAUUACAUUCUUUUUAUACUAAUCUGAAGUUCCUUGGAUGUAGACAGAAAGUCUACACCACUCAGAACACACAUAGUAACAUUAUCCAUUCCAAAAUGUGCUCACGAAAAGUAUCUAUGAUGCCAAAAGGAAACCAAAUGAGAGAAAAUCAGAAGAAAAGGAAAGGGAACAAAUUGGCUGUGCGCGGUGGCUCAAGCCUGUAAUCCCAGCAAGUUGGGAGGCAAAGGCAUGUGGAUCACGAGGUCAGGAGAUUGAGACCAUC